rnacentral:rRNA from 1 species
GAUGAACGCUAGCGGCAAGCCUAACACAUGCAAGUCGAACGGGAACUUUUGGUGCUUGCACCGAAAGACGAGUGGCGAACGGGUGCGUAACGCGUAUGCAAUCUACCUUUUACUAGGGUAUAGCCCGAAGAAAUUUGGAUUAAUCCCCUAUAAUAUCAUGAAUUCGCAUGAUUUUAUGAUUAAAGCUUUGGCGGUAAAAGAUGAGCAUGCGUCCUAUUAGUUAGUAGGUGAGGUAACGGCUCACCUAGACUACGAUAGGUAGGGGUCCUGAGAGGGAGAUCCCCCACACUGGUACUGAGACACGGACCAGACUCCUACGGGAGGCAGCAGUGAGGAAUAUUGGACAAUGGACGAAAGUCUGAUCCAGCUAUGCCGCGUGCAGGAUGACGGCCCUAUGGGUUGUAAACUGCUUUUAUACAGGAAGAAAAAAUCCGACGUGUCGGAUAUUGACGGUACUGUAAGAAUAAGGAUCGGCUAACUCCGUG